GAUGAACGCUGGCGGCGUGCCUAAUACAUGCAAGUCGAGCGAACAGACGAGGAGCUUGCUCCCCUGACGUUAGCGGCGGACGGGUGAGUAACACGUGGAUAACCUACCUAUAAGACUGGGAUAACUUCGGGAAACCGGAGCUAAUACCGGAUAAUAUAUUGAACCGCAUGGUUCAAUAGUGAAAGACGGUUUUGCUGUCACUUAUAGAUGGAUCCGCGCCGCAUUAGCUAGUUGGUAAGGUAACGGCUUACCAAGGCAACGAUGCGUAGCCGACCUGAGAGGGUGAUGGGCCAAACGGGAACUGAGAAACGGUCGAGACUCAAACGGGAGGCAGCAGUAGGGAAUCUGCAGCAAUGGGCGAAAGCCUGAAGGAGAAACGCCGCGUGAGUGAUGAAGGUCUUCGGAUCGUAAAACUCUGUUAUUAGGGAAGAACAAAUGUGUAAGUAACUAUGCACGGCUUGACGGUACCUAAUCAGAAAGCCACGGAUAACUACGUG
rnacentral:rRNA from 1 species